UCAUCAGAGUUGUGCAUCUUUAUCUAUAUUUUGCCACUGUGGUGUUUUUUUUUUUUUUUUGCAGUGGAACAACACAACAACAUGUAUCCUGCUGUGGUUGGAGCAGCUGUCAGRGGGAUGCUCUUCACAGCCAUUCCUACAGUGCUGCUUCUCAUUUAUAUAUUCCGCAACCGCAGCAACAAUCCCCGACUACAUGCUAUGCUGUUUGGCUCGCUGCACAGCCAGUCCAGAGAAAACAUCAACCACCCAGAGGAUGAACUGGUCAAUUGAAGAGGGUGGGAUCGAGAACGUCGGUGGAUCCUUUGCUCCAGGCAAGACAAACCCAAAUUAAACACAUUAACUGUUUAUCUUCCUGAUACUGAAACACAAUGUUUGUCUUUUCUAGAAGCAACAGAA